GGUACUCAGAAGGUUGCUGGUUUGAUCCCCACAGUCACCACCAUUGUGUCCUUGAGUAAGACACUUAACUCCAGGUUGCUCCGGGGGGAUUGUCCCUGUAAUAAGUGCACUGUAUAAUACAUUGGUACUCAGAAGGUUGCUGGUUUGAUCCCCACAGUCACCACCAUUGUGUCCUUGAGUAAGACACUUAACUCCAGGUUGCUCCGGGGGGAUUGUCCCUGUAAUAAGUGCUCUGUAUAAUACAUUGGUACUCAGAAGGUUGCUGGUUUGAUCCCCACAGUCACCACCAUUGUGUCCUUGAGUAAGACACUUAACUCCAGGUUGCUCCGGGGGGAUUGUCCCUGUAAUAAGUGCACUGUAUAAUACAUUGGUACUCAGAAGGUUGCUGGUUUGAUCCCCACAGUCACCACCAUUGUGUCCUUGAGUAAGACACUUAACUCCAGGUUGCUCCGGGGGGAUUGUCCCUGUAAUAAGUGCUCUGUAUAAUACAUUGGUACUCAGGAGGUUGCUGGUUUGAUCCCCACAGUCACCACCAUUGUGUCCUUGAGUAAGACACUUAACUCCAGGU